CAAGCUUACAGGCUCAGGGGCUCAGGAGGCUCCAGGCUAAAUGGUGUUCCAGAAGGCUUCACCUGAGGGUAGAAAUUCACCUUCAGGUACCCCCUCCCUGCCUGCGUGAGAGCUGAGAGAGGAAGAUGAAUUCCUUAAGCUCUUCCCUGUGCUGGGAAGCAGUAGUGUUAAGAGAGAUCUCUGUGCUGAAGAUGGAGCUGCAGCCAAGAUGACCGGCAUAGUUUAUAGGCUUAUUCCACUGCCAGGCUUGCUUUUGGCCGUGGAGCUGAUCUUUUGCUGCCUGAAAUAUGCGACAAUCAAGAAUUUGAUGGUGCAGAGGGGUUGCCUCAGUAAACGUUUCUGGAGCUCCCUGGGAAGGGCCCCUGUGGUUCUCCAAAGGUUUUCCUGAUGCUGCAGUCAGCCACUAGCCUUCAGAUUGCUGGUCUUCAUAUCAUCCCAUCAUCUCGGGGCAUUUCACUAUUCCAGACACUUCCCACUGGCCUUGAUCUCCCUCAUCCUCUCUUCCUCCACAAGACUUUGUGAUUAAUUUCUGCUGCCCCCUCCUGGAAUGACAACUUGCUCAAGUUACGCCCCCUCCUCCAGGGUUCAGUUCUAAUUACAUUUUGUCUAGGAACUCUAAGAUCCCUAGAAUGUAAAUACCUCCCCUUCUUAUUCUCCUACUGUACUGUGUACCCCCAUAAGCCAAGAUGCCUAUGAUGAAUGCCAAAAUGGUUAUUUACACGUUUUUCUUCCUACUACCUCCAGCAACCAUGUGGAUACAAGGAAUAGAUCAAAUUAGUUUUUUGAAACCUGCCCAAACACUGGCACGGUAUAUGGUACAUAGUAAGUCUGUUAAAUAUAGGAUAAAACUGGGUUGCCUUAAAUUCUAACUAGAGUGUAAAUGACUGAUUGUCAUACCUCUACAGAAUGUACAAGAAAAACUGUCUCCAUGGUAGGAAUUUUUGUUCUAAUCAGUCCAUGGAAAGAAAAAGCUAUUAUUGAACUUCCCAGGAAUCUCCCAGGCUGAGAAGUCUACACAAUAUUCAGGUAGGUAAAGUGUCAAAGAAGUUUAUCGAUUCAUGACGAGAAUCCUGUGAUGUCUCCUACCAAUCUUUCCAAGUGACAACACUAGCAGGUUUCACACAGUGUUAGCCUCAUUUAACCAGCCAUCAUUUCCAUUUAAAAAAUACGAGGGGAAGAAUUAAGAGUGAGUAGAAAAAAUGCCUUUGAAUUAAAAUCGUUGCUUUUCUUUGAACAUCCAGAUGAUUAAAUGAGAUCCAGACGAAAGCCUGCAAAUUCCAAAAAAUAAAGCCCAGCCGGGGGUAUCUGCAUUCCCUCAUGUUUCUGCUGGUAACCCCGUGGUAAAGUAAAGUAAUGAUUGAUUUGGAGAGAAUUAUGGCUAUUAUAAACUGUAAUCAGUGGUGGAUGAGAAUAAUUACACAGAGAAAGGGGGAAAAGCUGAAACAUGGCUGAGCAGUGUUCUGAUGGAUGGGGAAGUCAUUUCCUAGCUGUUAAUGACUGAUUUUUCAACAGUCAGCACACAAGCUUUAAUCCCAGAGGGGAGAAGGAGAAAGGAACGGCCACGUUAUUAAGGAUGCUACUGAUUUAACCUUACCCAUUUUCCUCUGGACAUUGCUGGUGCCUGUCUCCCAUCUGUUCCUGCUAUUGCAGACAUACCAUGCAGGUUUGAGGUUAGGACCUGGCCUUUAUCUGAGAGACACUAGAAAGAGUUAUGGUUGUAGAAAACUACUGUAGAUCACGGUGGCGGGAUACAGCAUUAGGGUGUCAUAGCAUCGUAGGAUGUUAGGACUAGAAGGGCCACAGUAAUAACCUGAUCCAAUCUGCUCAUUUUAUAGAUGAGUCCAGAGAGGUGAAGUGAUGCGUCUAUGUCACAUAGGUGAGGGGCUUAGACAUAAGGGGAAAUUGCUCCCACAGGACCCAGGAGACUGGCCUUAUAAAAGAGGCAUGAUCAGAUCUCUGAGGGAGACAGCUUUACUAAAGCCAAUUCGAAAUUGGCAUCAGGUUGGUCUCUUGCCCUCAGAGAUAUGCUCUGGAGUUCAAUAUUCUCUCUGCAUUAGUUGUUACUGGAUGAGGUUACACAAGGUCAGAAAGGGCAUGGGUUUGUGGAAUGAUCAGUUUUGGUUUACAGACAAGUCAUGAGUCCUCUAAACUGUGACACUGACACACAUACACACACACACACACACACACACAGAGAGAGAGAGAGAGAGAGAGAAAGAGAACCCAAUUUAUCUUAUCAUUUGCAGCCAUAAAACAGAAUAACUGAUAGAAGUAGAUUAGAAGUCAUAAAACUGUGUAAAACAGGACAGCUAAGAUUUGGUUGGCAUCCCCCUUCAGGGUUCUUGAAGAGCCUUUUGGAUACUUUUGCAAAGUGCUGGGUUCCCCUCUGGCCUCCCGUGCAGAGGCCCCACAGAAAGAGGCUGCACAGUGGUGCUGGGCCGUGACAGAUUCCAGCCGUGUCUCCCCUCCCCCACCUGAGGAUAAAACCCGUCAGAAGGAAAGGCAGGAUCAUCUCCUAAGAAAAUACCGUUGCCUUUGAGGCUAAAUCAUGUCAAAAUAUAAGAUCAGGAAUGUCCAGAUGCUGUUUAUCCAAUCGUAAUUAAAUUUGGACUUCUUUAGGAGAAUAAAACAUGUCUCAGUUCCAGGAAAAGUUGUUUUGAUCCCAAGGCUGUUUGGGCUCUUUUUAUGAAAACAAACAUUUUAACCGAGAUGAUACCAAUGUUCCUAGAUUUUCACCAUGAAGGCGGGUUUUCUGGAGCAAAAUCUCUUGAGCCACCUUAUGUUCUUCAUAAUAUUUGAUCCAACAGUAUUAAAAAUCUCAGCUUUUUUUCCACUUUCAUCUUUAGUUUUCGGAAAUUAUUUUCAACAGGAUCAAU
rnacentral:lncRNA from 10 species